GUGAGGAAUUUUCCGCAAUGGGCGAAAGCCUGACGGAGCAAUGCCGCGUGAAGGAUGAAGGCCUAUGGGUUGUAAACUUCUUUUCUUAGAGAACAAUAUUGACGGUAUCUGAGGAAUAAGCAUCGGCUAACUCUGUGCCAGCAGCCGCGGUAAGACAGAGGAUGCAAGCGUUAUCCGGAAUGAUUGGGCGUAAAGCGUCUGUAGGUGGCUUCAAAAGUCUCCUGUCAAAGAUCAGGGCUUAACCCUGGGCCGGCAGGAGAAACUCUGAGGCUAGAGUUUGGUAGGGGCAGAGGGAAUUCCCGGUGGAGCGGUGAAAUGCGUAGAGAUCGGGAGGAACACCAAAGGCGAAAGCACUCUGCUGGGCCACAACUGACACUGAGAGACGAAAGCGAGGGGAGCAAAAGGGAUUAGAUACCCCGGUAGUCC
rnacentral:rRNA from 1 species